GAUGAACGCUGGCGGCGUGCUUAACACAUGCAAGUCGAACGGGGUUUACGAGAAGCUUGCUUUUUGUAAACCUAGUGGCGGACGGGUGAGUAACGCGUGAGUAACCUGCCUUAGACUGGGGGAUAACACUUAGAAAUAGGUGCUAAUACCGCAUAAGCGCACAGUAUCGCAUGAUACAGUGUGAAAAACUCCGGUGGUCUAAGAUGGACUCGCGUCUGAUUAGCUAGUUGGUGAGGUAACGGCCCACCAAGGCGACGAUCAGUAGCCGGCCUGAGAGGGUGAACGGCCACAUUGGGACUGAGACACGGCCCAAACUCCUACGGGAGGCAGCAGUGGGGGAUAUUGCACAAUGGGCGAAAGCCUGAUGCAGCGACGCCGCGUGAGUGAAGAAGUAUUUCGGUAUGUAAAGCUCUAUCAGCAGGGAAGAAAAUGACCGUAC
rnacentral:rRNA from 1 species